AGUGCGGGUGCUAUAAUGCAGUCGAGCGAACGGACGAGAAGCUUGCUUCUCUGAUGUUAGCGGCGGACGGGUGAGUAACACGUGGAUAACCUACCUAUAAGACUGGGAUAACUUCGGGAAACCGGAGCUAAUACCGGAUAAUAUUUUGAACCGCAUGGUUCAAAAGUGAAAGACGGUCUUGCUGUCACUUAUAGAUGGAUCCGCGCUGCAUUAGCUAGUUGGUAAGGUAACGGCUUACCAAGGCAACGAUGCAUAGCCGACCUGAGAGGGUGAUCGGCCACACUGGAACUGAGACACGGUCCAGACUCCUACGGGAGGCAGCAGUAGGGAAUCUUCCGCAAUGGGCGAAAGCCUGACGGAGCAACGCCGCGUGAGUGAUGAAGGUCUUCGGAUCGUAAAACUCUGUUAUUAGGGAAGAACAUAUGUGUAAGUAACUGUGCACAUCUUGACGGUACCUAAUCAGAAAGCCACGGCUAACUACGUGCCAGCA
rnacentral:rRNA from 1 species